GAGCCCAGGAGGCGGGGCGCCUGUGGGAGUCGUGGAGGGAACUUUCCCAGGCCCCGAGGCGGAUCGGGUAUUGAGUCCAUGGAGCGAGCUGAGAGCUAGAGUACAGAACCUGCUAAGGCCAUCAAACCUAUCGAUCGGAAGUCAGUCCAUCAGAUUUGCUCUGGGCCGGUGGUACUGAGUCUAAGCACUGCGGUGAAGGAGUUAGUAGAAAACAGUCUGGAUGCUGGUGCCACCAAUAUUGAUCUAAAGCUUAAGGACUAUGGAGUGGAUCUCAUUGAAGUUUCAGACAAUGGAUGUGGGGUAGAAGAAGAAAACUUUGAAGGCUUAACGAUGUCACCAUUUCUACCUGCCACGCAUCGGCGAAGGUUGGGACUCGACUGGUGUUUGAUCACGAUGGGAAAAUCAUCCAGAAAACCCCCUACCCCCACCCCAGAGGGACCACAGUCAGCGUGAAGCAGUUAUUUUCUACACUACCUGUGCACCAUAAGGAAUUUCAAAGGAAUAUUAAGAAGGUGAUCUCAGCCCUCCUCCAGGCUUCGAUUAUAACUUACAGGAUUGUGAUUCACACAUUUCAGUUUCCACCACAGGCCCCUCCAGACAUGUCCAUCUGCCUGCUGUGUUGACUUUUCCCUUUGGAGUCUUGAGGCAGCUACAAGCUUACUGACCAGAAAUGAACUCAAGCUCUCCCCGAAGCCUGGUCCUCUUCCAGGAUCAGCCAGCCUGGAAGAUGGCACUGUCAUCCACCCUGUUCUCAGGCCUGCCACCCAGGAGUCAACCUUAGCCCCAUCUAAUUGUCAGAGGCAUCUGAACCACAGCAACUCCAUCUUGAGUAGGGGAUGGGUAAAAUGAGGCUGAGACCUGCUGGGCUGCAUUCCCAGACAGCCAAGGCAUUAGCCACAGGAUAAGAUAGGCGGUCGGUACAAGACACAGGUCAUAAAGACCUUGCUGAUAAAACAGUUGGCAGUAAAGAAGCCAGCCAAAA
ensembl:lncRNA PMS2P4 PMS1 homolog 2, mismatch repair system component pseudogene 4